rnacentral:rRNA from 1 species
CAAACUGCGAAUACCGGAGAAUGUUAUCACGGGAGACACACGGCGGGUGCUAACGUCCGUCGUGAAGAGGGAAACAACCCAGACCGCCAGCUAAGGUCCCAAAGUCAUGGUUAAGUGGGAAACGAUGUGGGAAGGCCCAGACAGCCAGGAUGUUGGCUUAGAAGCAGCCAUCAUUUAAAGAAAGCGUAAUAGCUCACUGGUCGAGUCGGCCUGCGCGGAAGAUGUAACGGGGCUAAACCAUGCACCGAAGCUGCGGCAGCGACGCUUAUGCGUUGUUGGGUAGGGGAGCGUUCUGUAAGCCUGCGAAGGUGGCCUGUGAGGGUUGCUGGAGGUAUCAGAAGUGCGAAUGCUGACAUAAGUAACGAUAAAGCGGGUGAAAAGCCCGCUCGCCGGAAGACCAAGGGUUCCUGUCCAACGUUAAUCGGGGCAGGGUGAGUCGACCCCUAAGGCGAGGCCGAAAGGCGUAGUCGAUGGGAAACGGGUUAAUAUUCCCGUACUUGGUGUUACUGCGAAGGGGGGACGGAGAAGGCUAUGUUGGCCGGGCGACGGUU